CCCUACCGGGAGGCAGCAGGGGGGAAUAUUGCACAAUGGGCGAAAGCCUGAUGCAGCCAUGCCGCGUGUAUGAAGAAGGCCUUCGGGUUGUAAAGUACUUUCAGCGAGGAGGAAAGGGUGAGUCUUAAUACGGCUCAUCUGUGACGUUACUCGCAGAAGAAGCACCGGCUAACUCCGUGCCAGCAGCCGCGGUAAUACGGAGGGUGCGAGCGUUAAUCGGAAUUACUGGGCGUAAAGCGCAUGCAGGCGGCUGAUUAAGCCAGAUGUGAAAGCCCGAGGCUCAACCUCGGAAUUGCAUUUGGAACUGGUCAGCUAGAGUUCUUGAGAGGGUGGUAGAAUUUCAGGUGUAGCGGUGAAAUGCGUAGAGUAUCUGAAGGAAUACCAGUGGCGAAGGCGGCCUCCUGGCAAAUAACUGACGCUCAGAUGCGAAAGCGUGGGGAGCAAACAGGAUUAGAUACCCUGGUAGUCCACGCCGUAAACGAUGUCUACUCGGAGUUGGGUGUCUUGACCCCUGAGCUCCGCAGCUAACGCAUUAAG
rnacentral:rRNA from 1 species